UGGGGAAUAUUGCACAAUGGGCGAAAGCCUGAUGCAGCAACGCCGCGUGAGUGAUGACGGUCUUCGGAUUGUAAAGCUCUGUCUUUGGGGACGAUAAUGACGGUACCCAAGGAGGAAGCCACGGCUAACUACGUGCCAGCAGCCGCGGUAAUACGUAGGUGGCAAGCGUUGUCCGGAUUUACUGAGCGUAAAGGGUGCGUAGGCGGACCUUUAAGUGAGAUGUGAAAUCCCCGAGCUUAACUUGGGGGCUGCAUUUCAAACUGGAGGUCUAGAGUGCAGGAGAGGAGAGUGGAAUUCCUAGUGUAGCGGUGAAAUGCGUAGAAAUUAGGAAGAACACCAGUGGCGAAGGCGACUCUCUGGACUGUAACUGACGCUGAGGCACGAAGGCGUGGGGAGCAAACAG
rnacentral:rRNA from 1 species